UCAAACACAUGCUGUUAGGGCUCUGAGUCUCACUUUCAGGCUCUCUGUCAUCUCCUGACUCUUCCAGGGGACAUAAAAACAAUACCCUCAUACACCAGUUCCACCAAAAAGAUUUUCUUUAUUGUUGUUAUUACUGAAGCAUUGAUAUCCUUAUAUUUUAUAUCUAUAUGUACAGAUUUUACAUGUCCUAUACUUUACACAAUAUACACAUGCAUAUGCACACACGAUUUUGACAUAUCACAGUAAAAAAUUUAGAUGUGAUACUAGUCUAUAGCUCAAUUUAAGAUAGAAAGCCAUAGCCUAAAUGUGCUGGCUUUGUUUCCCAGCAUCUCAGUUUUCUUUACAAUUUGAGAAAGUACUAUUUGAGUAUUUAUUAUUAUUAUUUGAGUAUUAUUAUUACUUGAGGCAUAAUAAUAUUAAUCUUUAAUGGCCUUUACUCUACUGAACAUGCCUAUGUACCCAUUCCCACUGAAAUUUCCCUUCUAGCCACACAUAGUCAUUACCCUGAUUUAAUGUAAAGGCAACUGAGGCCCAUAUGAAGUGACCUCCUCAAGCCAUUCAGGUGUUAGAGUGGAGUCAGAAAAAACAAAGCCUUGGCUGGUAGCCCUGGGCUCUUUCUGAGAAUCCACAAGAACUGAGUGAAUAUUUCAAACAUAUUUUCUGAAUGAAAAAACUCCCCAUAGUCUCUGGCAGUUAGUACCUAAGAAGAUAAAGCAGAGUAUUAAAAAUCCAUGUACACUCUAGUGAAAAUGUCCAGACUUUGUUGGAGUGAGAGGCUCAAAGCACCUGUCAAGGUACGCUAUAAUGAGAAAUGAUCAUGACUGGAAUGUUCUCCUUUAUCUCACCAGCUCUAUAACCCAAAUUUUAUCAAAGACUUCAGGCCUGAAGAGCUCAGACCGCAUUUUGUCAUUAAUAUUCACCACCAUACCCUUUAAGGGUAUGGGUAUGUGUUAUUAGCAUCACAUUUCAGAUGAAAAUACACCAUGAAAAGAACCAUAGCAUUUGUGCCUGGCUUAAGGAUUCAGAGACUGCUUCCUUUUAGAACCAUCUCUUAUGUCUGAUUCAGCUUUGCCCUCCUGUAGGAAACAACACAGAUAAACCAAGUGGGAUGCUCUUUUCAGCCUAAUGUCCCCAGUGUCAAAGUCUGACUAAAAUAAUAAGAUCAAAGCCCUAGGACUAUGAUGAAAAUGAAAGUCCGUGAUGGAGCAAGAUUGGCAAAGAAGCUAUUAUGUAUUGGCCUAGAUACUCAAAUGUCCUUUGAAAAAUAUUAAAAAUACAGAUGUCUAUUAUUAUAUAAUAGCAUUAAGACCUAAACCUCAGCCAUCUUUAGAAAUCCAAGCAAUGGUCACCCAAGAGCUAGGCUUUCAAUAUUUUCCCUCUUUUCUUUUUUUCUGGUACUGAGCUACAUACCCCCGCCCCUUUUUUUGAGACAGGUCUUGCUAAAUUACCCAAUUGUCCAGAACUUAUGAUCUGCUGCAUCACAUUUGAUUCUAUUGUGACCAUUUAGCAUGAUCUUGAACAUACAAGCUGUAAUUUCACAGCUUCAAACACUUUACUGUGUCUAUGAAAUCUACAUUUUUUUUAAAAAGCCGGUCACUGACACCUGACAUGAACCACACCAACACUCACUGAAAAGACUGUAAGAAGUGUCAUCCUGGGUAAGUCAGUGGUGCAUCUGAUCGAGAAUUCUGUCACUGUUAUCUGAAACACUCAUGGGAGGGCAUGAGCUCUUAAAACUAAUGUUGCACUUCUAAGAACUUUGCCUCAUCAAUACAAAAAUCACAUAAAAUCAUUCAUUGCAGUGAUAUUUGUAAUCACAGAACCUGGGAACAAACUAAAUGGUUAUUAAUAAGCAACUGGUUGAACAGACUGUGGCACAGCCAUACAAUAGACUAUCAUUCAGCUAAAAAAAAUAAGAUCUUUAUGCAACAAUAAGGAAGAUUCCAAGGAUAUAUUGGUAAGUAAAUUAAAUAAUAUAUAUACACUCGAAUGUCCAUAGGAUGCCGCUAUCAUUCAAAAGCUAUGGGAUGGAUAUUUUUCAGACAUUUUGCACAUACUUACUGUGCAUCUUCUACAUCCCAGAAACUGUUCUAGCUACUGGGGACAUGGCAGUAAAGAAGAAAAUAGACCAAACUCCUAGCCUUCCAGAAGCUUAUUCUCAUUUUCUCAUGCCAGGAUACUCGUGUCUGAGGCCCCCUGACAAUUCUGUCUGUCUCAUUUGGGAUCUCUCAUGUAUACUUAGUCAGACAGCUGCUGGAGCUGGAGCCAACUAAAAAAUUAAUUAGAAUGCAUACACCUGUUACAGAGAACGCCAGAUGUUAAUCAGCAGAUGUUCCUGGGGCUCACAAAGAAAAACAGGUAUUAUCAGAAAUAUGAUGAAUGCUGCUGCUCAGGCUGCCCGACAGAAAGACAGGCUUGUAGAAACAUGAUGGUGUGUCCUGAUCCACCUUAUUUACUGACUGGCACCAUGCAACUUCUGUCUCCUCCCCAGAGUCAAGAUCUCCAUAAAAGGUAAAUAUUUUGAAUCUUUUCAGGACAUCAAGGAAGCCACAACAAUGCAACCCAAAACAGCAUACAGCUAUUAGGACCACGUCGGGGAGAUUAACACUUAACUUUGUCCAGUAAAGAAAUAUGACCAAGGUGUAGCGCUUUCUUUUCUUUUUUUUUUUUUUUGGUACCAGGGAUCGAACUCAGGACCUUGUCCUUGCGAGGCAGGCACCAGAACCACUGAGCUAAAUCCCCAGCCCAGCUUUCUUUGGUCUUACCAUUCAGAAAAAAAGCAUCCUCCUCCCACGAAACAAGUAUAAGCAAUGAAAGGCAGGGCUCCAGGACCUUUUCUAAGAGAGCCACUGACAAUCCAGGUUAUAUAUGGAAACACAAAUGUAUUUUGUCAAUAAAAACAAUACAUAGACUUUGUGUUUUCCCUUUCAUGUCAUGCAUGUGAAGGUGGGUUAGAGACGAACCAG
ensembl:lncRNA